rnacentral:sRNA from 1 species
GCCAGGCAGGGUGGUGCUCGCCUGUGGUCCCAGCUACUCCGGGGCCGAGGCAGGAGGAUCCCUGGAGACCAGGAGUUUAGGGCCAGCCUGGGCAGCACAGACCCUGCCUCAA